rnacentral:piRNA from 1 species
UAGUAGCCUGACUUUUUCUAUUGGA